UGGCGGACGGGNGAGUAACGCGUGGAAAACCUGCCGUAUACUGGGGGAUAACACUUAGAAAUAGGUGCUAAUACCGCAUAAGCGCACAGCUUCGCAUGAAGCGGUGUGAAAAACUCUGGUGGUAUACGAUGGUUCCGCGUCUGAUUAGCUAGUUGGUGGGGUAAUGGCCUACCAAGGCAACGAUCAGUAGCCGGCCUGAGAGGGUGAACGGCCACAUUGGGACUGAGGCACGGCCCAAACUCCUACGGGAGGCAGCAG
rnacentral:rRNA from 1 species